GAUGAACGCUGGCGGCGUGCCUAAUACAUGCAAGUCGAGCGAACAGACGAGGAGCUUGCUCCUCUGACGUUAGCGGCGGACGGGUGAGUAACACGUGGAUAACCUACCUAUAAGACUGGGAUAACUUCGGGAAACCGGAGCUAAUACCGGAUAAUAUAUUGAACCGCAUGGUUCAAUAGUGAAAGACGGUUUUGCUGUCACUUAUAGAUGGAUCCGCGCCGCAUUAGCUAGUUGGUAAGGUAACGGCUUACCAAGGCAACGAUGCGUAGCCGACCUGAGAGGGUGAUCGGCCACACUGGAACUGAGACACGGUCCAGACUCCUACGGGAGGCAGCAGUAGGGAAUCUUCCGCAAUGGGCGAAAGCCUGACGGAGCAACGUCGCGUGAGUGAUGAAGGUCUUCGGAUCGUAAAACUCUGUUAUUAGGGAAGAACAAAUGUGUAAGUAACUACGCACGUCUUGACGGUACCUAAUCAGAAAGCCACGGCUAACUACGUG
rnacentral:rRNA from 1 species